rnacentral:rRNA from 1 species
GACGAACGCUGGCGGCGUGCUUAACACAUGCAAGUCGAACGGAAAGGCCCUGCUUUUGUGGGGUGCUCGAGUGGCGAACGGGUGAGUAACACGUGAGUAACCUGCCCUUGACUUUGGGAUAACUUCAGGAAACUGGGGCUAAUACCGGAUAGGAGCUCCUGCUGCAUGGUGGGGGUUGGAAAGUUUCGGCGGUUGGGGAUGGACUCGCGGCUUAUCAGCUUGUUGGUGGGGUAGUGGCUUACCAAGGCUUUGACGGGUAGCCGGCCUGAGAGGGUGACCGGCCACAUUGGGACUGAGAUACGGCCCAGACUCCUACGGGCGGCAGCAGUGGGGAAUAUUGCACAAUGGGCGGAAGCCUGAUGCAGAAACGCCGCGUGCGGGAUGACGGCCUUCGGGUUGUAAACCGCUUUCGCCUGUGACGAAGCGUGAGUGACGGUAAUGGGUAAAGAAGCACCGGCUAACUACGUG